UAAAUCCACGCUGUCGUGCGUCAGGGGG
rnacentral:sRNA from 1 species